GGCAGUCAGGUCUGUAGAGUCAAAGGUAAUGAAAUGUAUCAAGUCCUUUGGAAGCAAGAGCACAAAGUAAAACCUGAUACAAACAGAAGGGAAAGACUUAGCUGCUGUCGUGAUGCUGGUGAGGAAGCACAUGUGCUGGGCGUGUCACCAAGCUCUUCACCUGCUAGAAGAUGAAAGACACUGAAGCAGCCAAAUUGAACCCACAAGUGGAAGUCAUGUGUUGAAGACAGCAGCAGGGCCGGCUACAGUUUGUGGGGCCCAAUGAAAAAUGAAACUUCAGGUCUUCUUGUUCAAAAAAACAAAAGGCGGGGGGAUUGCCAUUAAAUGUAGUAAAAUU